UACGGAGGGUGCAAGCAUUGAUCGGAAUUACUGGUCGUAAAGGGCGCGUAGGCGGUAGGAUGAGUCGGAUGUGAAAUUCCGGGGCUCAACCCCGGAGCUGCAUUUGAAACUGCCCUGCUAGAGUUCAGUUAGGGUAAACGGAAUUCCACGUGUAGCGGUGAAAUGCGUAGAUAUGUGGAAGAACACCGGUGGUGAAAACGGUUUACUGGGCUGAAACUGACGCUGAGGCGCGAAAGCAUGGGGAGCAAACAGG
rnacentral:rRNA from 1 species